rnacentral:lncRNA from 1 species
CCAUGUCAACAAUUAAAUCUGUUGUUGAGAAAUUCCAAAAAGAUGGGAAUGCCAAUCCAGGUUUGGUGCCCAUUCAUCACCCAAAUCAAUCUUUAUCAGAGGAAAUAAAACUUGCGAUUUGCAUGUCCGUAAUUGAAAAACCCAGAAUUUCUUUUGUCUCAAUCGUGCAUAAAUUGCAUGUCAGCAAAUCAUCUGUUUGGAAAGCAUUAAGAGAAGAGAGCUUCUUCCCAUACAAAAAUCAAAUGCCAUCAAGAACUUCCAGAUGAUGAUGAAUUGAUGAUAGAAGAAUGUUAUUUUGUGGAAAAUGUUGGACAUGUACAA